rnacentral:misc_RNA from 1 species
AACUGAUACUACCUGCGGGAACCUGCGGAAGGAUCAUUACUGAAGUGAUUUGGGGAUGUUGCCGGCCCUCUCUCAAGGGGGGGCACUGUGCACUCCUCGAAACAAUUCACAAUUUCCAUCACACCCCUUGUGCACACCUUGUAGGCACCCAAACCCACCUCCGGGUGGUGGGGUCCUAUGUAUUCCUUCAUCUCACACUCUGUUGAAUGGUGCCAUGGGACGCAUCUAAAGGAUUAUUUG